rnacentral:rRNA from 1 species
GACGAACGCUGGCGGCGUGCUUAACACAUGCAAGUCGAACGGAAAGGCCCUGCUUUUGUGGGGUGCUCGAGUGGCGAACGGGUGAGUAACAUGUGAGUAACCUGCCCUUGACUUUGGGAUAACUUCAGGAAACUGGGGCUAAUACCGGAUAGGAGCUCCUGCUGCAUGGUGGGGGUUGGACCGUUUCGGCGGUUGGGGAUGGACUCGCGGCUUAUCAGCUUGUUGGUGGGGUAGUGGCUUACCAAGGCUUUGACGGGUAGCCGGCCUGAGAGGGUGACCGGCCACAUUGGGACUGAGAUACGGCCCAGACUCCUACGGGAGGCAGCAGUGGGGAAUAUUGCACAAUGGGCGGAAGCCUGAUGCAGCAACGCCGCGUGCGGGAUGACGGCCUUCGGGUUGUAAACCGCUUUCGCCUGUGACGAAGCGUGAGUGACGGUAAUGGGUAAAGAAGCACCGGCUAACUACGUG